GACGUAGGGCGCGAGCGUUUGUCCGGAUUUAUUGGGCGUAAAGAGCUCGUAGGCGGCUUGUCGCGUCGACUGUGAAAUCCCGCGGCUCAACUGCGGGUCUGCAGUCGAUACGGGCAGACUAGAGUUCGGUAGGGGAGUCUGGAAUUCCUGGUGUAGCGGUGAAAUGACGCAGAUAUCAGGAGGAACACCGGUGGCGAAGGCGGGACUCUGGGCCGAUACUGACGCUGAGGAGCGAAAGCGUGGGGGAGAAACAGG
rnacentral:rRNA from 1 species